GCGAAAACUUUGCAAUGCGGGAAACCGUGACAAGGGAACUCCGAGUGCCCGUAAAUUCGGGCUGUCCGCCAGUUUAAAUAACUGGUGAAGAAAGGGCCGGGCAAGACCGGUGCCAGCCGCCGCGGUAAUACCGGCGGCUCGAGUGGUGGCCACUAUUACUGGGCUUAAAGCGUUCGUAGCUGGCCUGUUAAGUCUCUGGGGAAAUCUUCCGGCUUAACCGGAAGGCGUCUCAGGGAUACUGGCAGGCUAGGGACCGGUAGAGGUGAGGGGUACUCCAGGGGUAGGAGUGAAAUCCUGUAAUCCUUGGGGGACCACCUGUGGCGAAGGCGUCUCACCAGAACGGCUCCGACAGUGAGGAACGAAAGCUGGGGGAGCAAACC
rnacentral:rRNA from 1 species